AUGUCUGCUUCGUCGGGCUAUGUUGUUGUGCCUCGCUGUCCGGUGAUCUUCGAUGGUACUAACUACACCGAGUUCACUGGCUUCAUGCACAUUCACAUGCGUGGCAUCCGUCUCUGGGGCGUUCUUUCUGGCGAGUUCUGCUGUCCGCCCCGUCCGGUUCCUCCGGUGGCCCCUACUCCGCCGACUCCCCUGGUUCUUCCUCCGGAUGCUAAUCAGGCCGCCAAGGAUGCGACUAAGAUUGCUGAUGAGGUUGCUGAUCGUGCCUAUGAUGAGAGGGUUUUGGUUUAUGAGGAGGCUCUUCAGACGUAUCAUGGUGCUUUGUCUGUUUACACCUAG
rnacentral:rRNA from 1 species